rnacentral:lncRNA from 1 species
UUUGAAAAGCUUAAAAUGCUAAGGGAAAAAGCUAAUUUAAUGAAUCCAAAUACUGAAAAUGAAGAAAAAACUUAUCCACCAGCAGAGGAGGACGAAAAAACUGAUCUAUUGAAUCCAAAUACUGAAAAUGUAGAAAAGACAUCUCCACUGGCAGAGGAGGAAGAAAAGGCUGGUUUGUUGAAUCCAGAUACAGAGAAGGAGGAAAAGACUUCUCCACCGGUAGAGAAGAAAGAAAAAGCUAGUUUGUCGAAUCCAAAUGCAGAGAAUGAGGAAAAGAAUCCAAAUACUGAAAAUGAUGAAAAGACAUCUCCACUGGCAGAGGAGGAAGGAAAAGCUGGUUUGCCGAAUCCAGACGCAAAGGAUGAGGAAAAGACUUCUCCACCUGUAGAGGAGAAAGAAAAAUCUAAUUUGUCGAACCCAAAUAUAGAGAAUGAGGAAAAGACUUCUCCCCAGGGAGAGGAGGAAGAGAAAGCUCUUACAUCAGACUUUAUUAUUGAGGUUAGUGUCUC